GCGGAGGGAUCAUUACUGAGUUACCGCUCUAUAACCCUUUGUGAACAUACCUAUAACCGUUGCUUCGGCGGGCGGCGCGGCCACUGCGGCCCCGCCCCCCGGCCCCGCUCGUCGGGGCGCCCGCCGGAGGAUAACCAAACUCUGAUUUAACGACGUUUCUUCUGAGUGGCACAAGCAAAUAAUCAAAACUUUUAACAACGGAUCUCUUGGUUCUGGCAUCGAUGAAGAACGCAGCGAAAUGCGAUAAGUAAUGUGAAUUGCAGAAUUCAGUGAAUCAUCGAAUCUUUGAACGCACAUUGCGCCCGCCAGCAUUCUGGCGGGCAUGCCUGUUCGAGCGUCAUUUCAACCCUCAAGCUCUGCUUGGUGUUGGGGCCCUACGGCUGACGUAGGCCCUCAAAGGUAGUGGCGGACCCUCUCGGAGCCUCCUUUGCGUAGUAACUUUUGUCUCGCACUGGGAUCCGGAGGGGCCUCUGGCCGUAAAACCCCCAAUUUUUCCAAAGGUUGACCUCGGAUCAGGUAGGAAUACCCGCUGAACUUAAGCAUAUCAAUAAGCGGAGGAGGUC
rnacentral:rRNA from 1 species